AAUACAACUACAAGGUUGUUGCGCUUUUAAACAAUGAGAGAAAUAUCUGUACAGUUUAUUUAUAGACAGUUUGAACAACAGAGUACCACUUAUGGAUUUAUUGGGGGUUGUAUCCUAUUUUUUUUUAGUAGAAAAAGAAAUUUUAUCAAUGAAAGGGAGAAAAUAUUACAAAAAGAACAAUGGAUAAGAUAUUCAGCUGAAACAAAAGGAAAUCAAAACAAAAAAUACAAAAAGAAAACAAAUCAAGUGACUAUAGCAUCCCAGUUUCUAUGAAGGACAGUGAGGGAGAUGUUAGAGAGUUUCCCAUGAGUCUUGGCCCAAAAGGAAGCCAGAAAAGUCAUCUUCUCCUAGAUGAGGUUGUCCUGCAAAGAACAGUCUUCAAAUAUCCGCUAGUUUAUUCCUGUCUGUAAAGAAUUAGGAAAAUAUUAAAUCUUUCUUGUCGUUUUAUUCCAAUGGUUUGGGGAUAUAUAUACAUAGAAGAGAUAUUAUAUAUGAUAACAUAAGUAACUCUAUUAAUGCUAAUAUAUAUAGGAAAUUAACUAAUGAUUACAUGAGAAUAUUCCGUAAUAUAUUCUGUACUGUUGUAACACUCCCCCUCAAGCUGAAGCAUAAAUAUUAAUCAUGUCCAGUUUGUUACGAAGAUAUUCAGUGCGGGUUCCAUUUAAAGUCUUUGUGAAUAUAUUAUCUAGUUGUUCCUAAUAUUAAGUGCGGGUUCCAUUUAAAGCCUUUGUGAAUAUAUUAUCUAAUUGUUCCCCUGUAUUCACAUAAUCGGUAAAUAUCAAGUUUUUCUGAAUAUUCUCACG
rnacentral:lncRNA from 1 species